UCUCACAGACACACACACACCUGGGUACUUUCACUCCAAGGCAGAUCCACACAGACACACACACACAGGAGGACAGUCGUUGUUCUCUCACCGGCACCUGCUUCAGCUCCUGUAUGACGGGCAGCACCACAUGGAUGUGAUCUUGCAUUAGAAGGCAAAGCCUCUGGAUCAUCUCCAGCCCACCGACCUCAGUUUGUCCUCUCUGGGGGGCCACAUGACCCCUGGGCGCCACGGAGACCCAAGACUGAGUCAUAUCUGAAAGUGAGACGAGCCGACAGCCAUGUUGCUGGGCAACCACAGCCUGUUGGCGAUCAUGCAGCAGUGGGCGGGGCCUGAUGAGGAGAGGGCGGAGCACACGCUGCAGUA